UGCCAGGGCCCAUGGAAUGUGGACUUACAAAUCCCGCCAGGGCAGGAAUGCAGCAACGGUAGUUUGCUCUGCAUCCGCCGUGGUCACCCUGGCAUUU
rnacentral:SRP_RNA from 1 species